GUUCACGAACCCCUGGAGGAGGCACAUCUUUGCCCCCCCGUGCUGUUGGGCAGCACCCACAGGAACGGGGAGAAGGGUACAACGAGCAGCUGUGCUGGAGCUUCUCCCUUCGGCAGAAGGGGACUGCAGGAUUUGGCACCUGUUCUGAGACGUGACCUUAACGACAGAAUACAUCCUGAUACAGCAGUGUAAAUUCUCCCUUCUGCCUUAGAAAGAGCCAAACCAACCCCAGCUGUCCUGACAGUCGUCUCAAACAGGAAAGAAUUUACCUAAAAAUGUGGAACUAAUAGGAAGAGUCACUAGAAAGAUGUCCAGGGCACAGACUGGGAAUAUUAAGAAAGGAAAAUGAUUUAAAAAGCAUCAGAGCACAGAGAACCUCCUGACUGCUCUUCAGCUCUGAAACAUCUUUGCAAAAGAAAACUGCUGGGAGAACCAGAUUCUGAUCUCUGGAAUGCAAACGUAUCCCUGGAGCUGCUUUUGGCAAAUGUAGCAAGUGGAACCCAAAAUUCCUCUCUGGUCUUGCUGCUGAUGCAGAUAAAGGAAAAACGAUUGUUCCAACUGCCCCGGCAGUGCGAGGCCAUACACCUGCUUAAAAGCCGUGAGGCUGCAGAACAAAGCAGGAGGAGGUGGGACACUGGGAGGUCACACAGCAGCAGCUGAUCUGAACAGAAGAUACUACCUCUAGCUACAGACCUUGUUCUGAUCCUAACGAGCACCCUCGCUGCAAGACACAGGCUGGCCAUCAGUUCAGAAAAAUACAGAUACUGGUAGCACAGUACAAAUUUAUACUAAGUACUCUCAGAGAUUUCAACAAGCUCCAAGGCCAGUUUUUUUCCCCAGUCAAGUCAAAAAGACACAACUGAAGCAGACAAGACUCUCUCCUCAGGGAAUGAAGUAAAGCAUCUUCCUUCCUGUCGAUGUAAGACACAUCUGACAACAGCCACUACUGAAGGGUAACAACUUCGCUCCCGGGAGAGCCGCUUUUGAUGUGUUUUCCACGGCUGUCCAGUGUCUCGGGUGUUCUUUGCUGGAGCACGGGACUAGACCUCCCCUGUCCUUUCAGAUACUG